GCUGGAAAUGCUCUAUAUUUUGCUCUUGAGCGUUUUUACUUCUGUUAAGGAUAAGCACACAGCUCUGCCAACCCAUUCAGGGCUGGAAUGGAUAUGCACUGACUCUAUCUGUAUGGAGUUAAAGCACAGGCGGACGCGGGUCAAUCAGAUUAUAAAGUAAAAUGGAUUGUGACGUCAGGGUUCAGGACGCGUCGCGUUGACUACAUGCAGAGCAGACCGAUCCGCUCCCCUCCUGUAGCAUGAGUCCACAAACACCAACCUGAAGGACAAACAUCUGACAAUGGCCUCUUAUUUAGAGAUAGCUGAUGACAGCAAGGGGCAUGAACUGGAUCUUUUUUGUGUACCAAAACACUACGAGGAGGAUUUGGACAGUGUCAUAAUACCCAACGGCCUCAUUAAAGAUAGGAAUCCCUCCAUGGACAUUUCUGGCAUUACUUCAGCCAGUUUUAAUGAACGCAUGCAUGUCACAUUCUCUACAGCAGCGGUUCUCAACUGGGCUGAAAGGUUGGCGAGAGAUAUUGUUCGGGACAUGGGUGGACAUCAUAUUGUUGCUCUGUGUGUUCUGAAAGGAGGGUAUAAAUUCUUUGCUGACCUGAUGGAUUACAUCAAGACACUGAAUCAAAACAGUGAUGAGUCUGUUCCAUUGACUGUGGAUUUCAUUAGACUUAAGAGCUACUCCAACGACGAGUCAACCAACUGUGUAAAAGUUAUUGGUGGAGAUGAAUUGUCUGCUCUAGCUGGCAAAAACGUGCUCAUAGUUGAGGACAUUGUAGAGACAGGAAAAACUAUGGAAACGCUGCUUAAACUAUUAAAUGAAUGUCGUCCUAAAAUGGUAAAAGUUGUCAGUUUACUUGUGAAAAGGACACCCAGGAGCUCAGGAUACCGUCCGGACUGUGAGUUUCUUUUUGUUGCUUAUCAUUGGAUUUUAUUGGACAUUAUGAGCAUUUCUGCUUAAUCCAAAUCGGUUGGGGAAAUAAAAAUACCCAGCAUUUAUACUGUUGGACAUGUCAUUUGCACACACACUCAUCCGUUCAUGCUCAGAGUAGUUAUGCAAUGCUUUUAGACAGAAAGCUGGUAAGCUCUUUAUAUCUACCCAUCUACCCUGCAAGCACAAAAGUUACUCGCGCUUGACUUCCGCACUUGAUUGUAGCACUGAAGUGGCUGAAGCAGUUAUCAAACAGACACAGAAGCAAAUGGCUCUGUGGGCUAUUAAGUCAUUUUCAUUACUGUAAUUCAUGUAGGUAUUUGUUAUACUGUCUUUAAUUUAUGCUGAUUUAAAUAAAAAUAUAUUUGUAUCCAGACAGUGUUAAUUUUCCAUCACAGUAAUGAGAAUAGAGUUUUUUCUGCAAUACGAUAUUGGAUUUGAAGUUCCUGACAAGUUCCUGGUGGGAUAUGCUUUAGACUACAAUGAAUAUUUCAGGGAUUUGAGUCAUAUCUGUAUAUUAAGUGAAAAAGCAAAAGAGAAAUAUAAAGUAUGAUGUGGCACAAGUGCUGGACACAUGAGAACAAUCACAUGAAUCACUGUGAACUUCUUUCCUCGCUUUUUUGGUUGUAAAUUGAAUUUAUUUUUGUACCUGUGAUCUGAAAUCAAUAGUGAACUUAUACAGCAUGGAUCCCCAUAGAUAAAUGUCUACACUUGUAGUGCUGGGAUGAAAGAUAAUGCAUUUUUGUUUAAAUUAAUAAUCUAAUUUUAAUUGUGAUGCUACUUGAUUGAUAAAAACAUGAUGAUUAUGGGCAGAGUUGCCAUACAGUUUGUUUUCACUGAACGGAGGCCUUUUGAGAUUAAUUGAUUUUAUGUUUGAUGUAAGUCCCUUUGGCUAAUACAAGGAGUUGUGAGAUUGUUAAUAAUUCAGCUAAUUAUUGUUAUUUAUUAUAUAUUCUCUAGAUAUUCACCCCAGUAACUUCGGAAAUAUACCCAUGCACUGAGACACUGAAUGUGCCGUUGUUAAGAAGGAUGUGGUAUUUAAAUUGAGGCUUCUUUGGAUACCACAAUAAUAAAAUAACACUGAUAUUAACAUUUGUUUUAUGUCCUGUUUGUUUUCUGUGGAUGUAAAUAUGAGAAUACAUUCAGUCUGAUGAGCUGAAUUUUAUCAUUGUAUAUUCAACACUGAUCAUAACCCUGAUCAUAACACCUCAACACUGCAUAAGGUAUUUGUAAAGUUUUUCUACCUAAGUGUUAAUUGAUUUGCCCAAGCAAAGUGACUCACCUGCAUGGUAAUUGUUAAGCAGACUUUUGGCAUUGAAACAUUUAAAAUUUUGAAAGUGUUGCACUCCUGUUCACAUGCCAACUAGUUUUAAACAUUGCCUUCCAAAUAGCUACAUCACUUAAUCUACACGCCAUGUAUUACUCUUAACUAACUGAUAUUGGAAUUAUGUUAAGAGAACUUGCUCUGCAAGCUGAGUUCCCCCCCACCCCACUAUGUUUGUGUUCCUUGCCAUGGUCUUCUUUGGCUUGCUCCUCUGGAAGCUUAAGGCAAGUUUUUCAAUGAAGCUGUUAACUGGGGACUUUGUCAUUUAUUAUAUUACAGACAAUUCAAUAUGAUUUUCUGUAAAGAUGCUUUGUGGAUUAUGUGUGCUAUGUGUAUUGUGAAAAGUGCUAAACAAAUAAACAUGACUUGUUAAA